CGCGCAGGCGGCCUUUUAAGUUGGAUGUGAAAGCCUACAGCUCAACUGUAGAACUGCAUCCAAAACUAUCAGGCUAGAGUGUGGAAGAGGAAGAUGGAAUUAGUUGUGUAGGGGUAAAAUCCGUAGAGAUAACUAGGAAUACCAAAAGCGAAGGCAAUCUUCUGGAACAUUACUGACGCUGAGGCGCGAAAGCGUGGGGAGCAAACAGGAUUAGAUACCCUGGUAGUCC
rnacentral:rRNA from 1 species